AUGGAGAAAGAAGAAAUUCUGACUCCACUCACUACAACCUCGGCUCUUGAGAAGAGUGCGUACGGACUGGGCUUCUUCCUGGGACUUCUUGAAUAUUCUUACGACAAGACAGCUGGCUUCCCACUGAGAAAGCAAUCCAAGGUGGAUUCCAAGCAGGAAGUUGAUGAUCAGGACAACCAUGAAAUCCAGAUGUUGAAGGUGGUAGAGCCUCCAUCAGCCUGGAGGUCUGCAGGACUGAGGUAUAAGGAACACUUUCUCUCAACCAUCGACAUUUUAAAGAAGAUGAAGCUUUGGAAAGGUCUUUAGACAUAGCCGGGAGCUUUGUUCACACUCCCGACAUUGCUGUCCGAUAAAACAGUACUGCAGAGAUGAAGUAACUUGCCCUAACGUCCAUACCUGGUAAGUAACAAAAGAAGUAAAUACAUUUGAACAAAUAUUUGAAAAACAUGGAAGUUCUCUAUAAUCUAACACUUCAAAUAUAACCAUAGUUUGGGAUAUGAAUUUAAGUACUUAUUAUAUACACAUAAAAACCAAUAUUUAUAGUUUUUCCAAAAAUGGAAUUAUACUAUAUGUAAAAAUGAGUCUACAAAUUGUUUUUAUGAAUACUUUAUAGAGAUAGAAUGUCUUAUUUUCUCUCUGCUAAUAUGUAGAUGGUAGAGAGCAGAAGGUAGCAAACUGGAAAGGACCAGAUCAUGAAUCCUUAGGCUUUGUGGACCCUACAGUCUCUGUCACAGAUACUUAACCCUGCUGUUGUGUUGCAAAAGCAGCUCUGGGUCAAUAUGUAAGCAAAAGUGUGAUCACAUUCCAAUAAUAUGAGAUUUAUAAAACAAACACCAGGUAACAACUGUCCAGCGGAUUGUGGUUUGCUAAUUCCUGGAAUACAGAAGGAAAAAAACAUUACAUUGAUUUAGAAAACAAUGAAGGUGAGCAGGGAGCAUAAUGUUUAUCCUGGGUGUAGGGGCCAGAAACUGGAUUUGAGUUUCCAUGUCAGCUGUGACCUUGAUUAAGGUAGGUAGACUCACUGCCUCAUGAGUAGAGUGUGAGUACUAAUACCCAGAUUUCAGGGUUAUCCUGAAGCUUAAUGAAAUAAUUCAUGCAAUUCAUCUGUUAGUAGGUAAGAAAACUUGCUUUCUUUGGGGAUAGGGGUAAAAGCAGUAUUUAUGUACUCACAUAGACGAAGCAUUUGAGCAAGGAAGAAGUGGUCGAAUUUGCCGUAUCUCGACAAGUCAAAGAUAUACAUCAUAUGGAUCCCCUCAAAAGUCAUGUUUCCAACUAUUGGCAAAGGUUGUGUAGACAGAACUAUUACCAGAAUGGUCCUGAGAUUUCCUGAGAAAGGAUUAACAUACUUGGCCUGGAACUUUUGCAAUAAAUGAAACAUUAGCGUUAAUUCAUAAUGAUUUAAAAAGAUAGAAGAUAUUUUAGAGGGAAAAAUCUAAUUACAGUGAAAAUAAAAUUUCAUUUAUUCAUCAUUUCCUUCAUUAUUAUUUUUGGGGAAAGAUAAAUAAGUACAUGCAAAGAAUAGCAAAGAAAAACAUCGAAGUGUACUAGGAGACAAUAAGGAAUUGAUGUGAUGCUGCCUAACUGUAAAUUUCUCUUAUUAUACAUCAUAUUUUAUUUAAUCUUCCAGUGUACAUAUUGGGUAAGUUCAAUUGGUAUUUUAAAACAGAAUCUAUAUAGCAGUUCUAAAUAACCUUAUUGCUUUUUUUCUAAUUGAUUUUGAACUUAAUGUAUUUUUUAUGACUUUGUAACUUUGUUUCCUGCUCUGCUUGGUGUAGUUAUACAUUCGGUUGAGUGCUUUAAGAUUUGAACACAGUUUUCUUGUUAUUUUAUUUUGCAGUUGCUUUUCAUUCAG
rnacentral:lncRNA from 1 species